rnacentral:misc_RNA from 1 species
AGAUGGAUCAUUCACAGUUACACUUUUCUCUAUGGUCCAUGCAUGACUACCCUUCGUUAGCAUGCAUGAAUACUUGUAACAAACGAAUAUAAGGCAAAUGGUUGAUGCUUUGAGCAAUACGAACUGAAAGCAGUUGGUUAUUCACUCUGAAUUAAUGAACAUUAUUAACUUUACGACUUUCAGCGAUGGAUGUCUCGGAUCUCGUAACGAUGAAGGACGCAGCUAGCUGCGAUACGCAGUGUGACUUGCAAACUUCUGAGAAUCAUUAGAUUUUUGAACGCAAAAGGCACUCUUAGGCCCUGCUUAGGAGUAUGUUCGCUUCAGUGCUUUAUAUAUUUGUUGUCUUAAUUGGUAGACAACGCGGAUAGUUGCUGUUCUUACGGCUGCUGCAAUUGAAUGGUCUUACCUCUUUGGUGAACCCUUAGAGAAAAUGGCCAAGUUGUUUUUCAAACAAGCCUGAAUUUGAGCAAGGCUACCCGCUGAAUUUAAGCAUAUUAUUAAGCGGAGGAAAAGAAACUAACUAGGAUUCCCUUAGUAACGGCGAGUGAACAGGGAAGAGCUCAAACUGAAAAUCGGCAGCUUGCUGUCGAAUUGUAGUCUCACGAAGUGCAGCUUGUGUUUGUUCUGGGCUAAGUCUCUUGGAAAAGAGUACCACAGAGGGUGAAAGUCCCGUCUUUGCUCAUGGACCACUCACGUUCGGUGCAUUUUCAAAGAGUCGCGUUCCUUGAGAUUGGAGCGCUAAGUGGGUGAUAAAUUUCAUCUAAAGCUAAAUACUAACGAGAUUCCGAUAGCAUACAAGUACCGUGAGGGAAAGAUGAAAAGGACUUUGGAAAGAGAGUUAAAAGGAACUGAAAUUGCUGAAAGGUAAGCGGAGAGUCUCGGCGGUCUAGCAGUUCUCGGUAUUUGGCGGGGUCGUUAUUGGCUCUAUUCGAAUUCUAGAGUUCUGCGGUGACUCUGGAAGUACUUGUUCUCACUGAGCAAAGCAUUGAUGUGUUCCCAUUCGGGUUCACUUCUUUGUUGUUUUCAGCUUGAAUGAGUUUGAUGCUACUGCAACACAUCAGUGGUUGUAGUAUAGUAUUCCAGAGAUGUCGUUUCUCUUUGUCCCGUCUUGAAACACGGACCAAGGAGUCUAACUUAUGUGCGAGUACAAGAGUGUCAAACUCACGUGCGAAAUGAAAGUAAUCGUCAGGAAGGGUAACCUGCACUGACGCCCGGCUACCAAGCUGAGGCUGAGCAUAUAGGUUAGGACCCGAAAGAUGGUGAACUAUGCCUGAGUAGGGUGAAGCCAGAGGAAACUCUGGUGGAAGCUCGUAGCGAUACUGACGUGCAAAUCGUUCGUCAAACUUGGGUAUAGGGGCGAAAGACUAAUCGAACCAUCUAGUAGCUGGUUCCCUC